UCACGGGUGUGCAUAUAUUUGUAUUGGGUACGCUUGAUUUGUCCAUAAACGUGUAAAUUUUCAUAGCAGCUUUGCACCUCGAUUUGCGAUUAUACAAAGAGGGAGGUGACCAUUCUACAUUGAUCCAGUGCCUUUUUAUGGGAUUCGAAACUGUGACUGUGAGAUGUAUGAGAGUUUGACUUCUAGGCGGGCAAUUCUACUUUCACUUUAAACGGUAAGUUGAAAAGAGCAUGCUGCAUCUUUGAUGUAAAAUAUCUCGAAAAGGAAUCAAGGACCCUAUUGCAAAUUUGGCCUUGUUGGAAAGGUUAGGAAUUUUGCUGAAAGUUGAUAUCUGUCAUUAUACUGGGGAAUUUUUUUUUUUUUGGAAUUAGGAGGGGUUGAAAAUGGGUAUAUUUUCCUCAUUUUUGUUGCUUUUUUACUUCCAGGAUGGCAGAUGCCUGAGUGUAUCUCGACCCAUUUCCAGGCUAGCAUCAGAUGUCAUGAUGGACCUUUAAAAUCUUUCACAUGUGUGCUUUCAAGAACCAUAUACAUUAUUUUUGAAAAUUGGUUGCCAUGGUAAUAAAAUCUGAAAAUUAAAACAUGGGCGUCUGAAGGCGAAUUUUCCUCCAUUUCCUGGUAGUUUGUGACCUUAACCAGUAAUUUCCCUUUUUGCACUUAAACCUGUACGGCAGACGUCUUAGACCAUAUGAGUAUUUCACUAUUUGUGUUAUCACCUGUCAAUUGUAUGAAAUCACAUGUAUUGAAUUAAAACAUUGAUUACCUUCA